UGCAAGUCGAGCGCGAAAGUUCUUCGGAACGAGUAGAGCGGCGGACGGGUGAGUAACGCGUAGGAAUCUACCCAGUAGUGGGGGACAACAUGGGGAAACCCAUGCUAAUACCGCAUACGCCCUACGGGGGAAAGCGGGGGACCUUCGGGCCUCGUGCUAUUGGAUGAGCCUGCGUUGGAUUAGCUAGUUGGUGGGGUAGAGGCCUACCAAGGCGACGAUCCAUAGCUGGUCUGAGAGGAUGAUCAGCCACACCGGGACUGAGACACGGCCCGGACUCCUACGGGAGGCAGCAGUGGGGAAUAUUGCGCAAUGGGGGCAACCCUGACGCAGCCAUGCCGCGUGUGUGAAGAAGGCCUUCGGGUUGUAAAGCACUUUCACUUGGGAAGAAAAGUUCGUAGUUAAUAACUGCGAGCCGUGACAUUACCUUGAGAAGAAGCACCGGCUAACUCCGUGCCAGCAGCCGCGGUAAUACGGAGGGUGCGAGCGUUAAUCGGAAUUACUGGGCGUAAAGCGCGCGUAGGCGGUUUGUUAAGUCGGAUGUGAAAGCCCCGGGCUCAACCUGGGAACUGCACCCGAUACUGGCCGACUAGAGUACGAGAGAGGGAGGUAGAAUUCCACGUGUAGCGGUGAAAUGCGUAGAUAUGUGGAGGAAUACCGGUGGCGAA
rnacentral:rRNA from 1 species